CCCUAAGAUCAGCGGUAGAACGGCGGACUGUUAAUCCGUAUGUCACUGGUUCGAGUCCAGUCAGAGGAGCCA
rnacentral:tRNA from 1 species